rnacentral:rRNA from 1 species
UACGAAGGGGGCGAGCGUUGUUCGGAAUCACUGGGCGUAAAGGGCGCGUAGGCGGCGGCGUAAGUUGGAAGUGAAAUCCCAUCGGCUCAACCGUGGAAUUGCUCCCAGUACUGCGUCGCUCGAGGGGGAUAGGGGUCUGCGGAACUACCGGUGGAGCGGUGAAAUGUGUUGAUAUCGGUGGGAACGCCAGUGGCGAAAGCGGCAGACUAGACCCUUCCUGACGCUGAUGCGCGAAAGCUAGGGGAGCAAACGGG